rnacentral:pre_miRNA from 1 species
AUUCUACUCCCUUCGUUCCACAAUACAUGCCUUCUAUUUGUAAAAAUAUAGAUGUAUCUAGACAUGUUUUAGUAUAUAGGUACAUCCAUUUUUGGACAAAUGGAAGUCAAGUAUUUUGGAACGGAGGGAGUACACA